AUAAAAGCUGAAUCUUUCUGGAUCUUUUAAUCGUUUUCUGACAGAAGCUUCAACUUGUCUGGUAAAAUGAAAGCUGUAUUUCUGAUGUGCCUUUUGUUGCUGUCGGUAGGAGUAGUUAUAAGCACAGAAGCGUGUGCGUGUACACAAGACUAUAACCCAGUUUGUGGAGACGAUGGCAAGACACACCCGAACAACUGUACCCGUGCCUGCAAUGGUGCUGCUUUUGUAAAGAAUGGCGAUUGUGACCGUUAAAUCGGUGCAAGAGAAGAGGCUUAAAACAAAGAUAAGAUAUGAAAUGUUUGUAACAGUUAACAAAAAUACAAACAUUAAAAAAUA